rnacentral:rRNA from 1 species
GAUGAACGCUAGCUACAGGCUUAACACAUGCAAGUCGAGGGGCAGCAUGGUCUUAGCUUGCUAAGGCCGAUGGCGACCGGCGCACGGGUGAGUAACACGUAUCCAACCUGCCGUCUACUCUUGGACAGCCUUCUGAAAGGAAGAUUAAUACAAGAUGGCAUCAUGAGUCCGCAUGUUCACAUGAUUAAAGGUAUUCCGGUAGACGAUGGGGAUGCGUUCCAUUAGAUAGUAGGCGGGGUAACGGCCCACCUAGUCUUCGAUGGAUAGGGGUUCUGAGAGGAAGGUCCCCCACAUUGGAACUGAGACACGGUCCAAACUCCUACGGGAGGCAGCAGUGAGGAAUAUUGGUCAAUGGGCGAGAGCCUGAACCAGCCAAGUAGCGUGAAGGAUGACUGCCCUAUGGGUUGUAAACUUCUUUUAUAAAGGAAUAAAGUCGGGUAUGGAUACCCGUUUGCAUGUACUUUAUGAAUAAGGAUCGGCUAACUCCGUGCCAGCAGCCGCGGUAAUACGGAGGAUCCGAGCGUUAUCCGGAUUUAUUGGGUUUAAAGGGAGCGUAGAUGGAUGUUUAAGUCAGUUGUGAAAGUUUGCGGCUCAACCGUAAAAUUGCAGUUGAUACUGGAUAUCUUGAGUGCAGUUGAGGCAGGCGGAAUUCGUGGUGUAGCGGUGAAAUGCUUAGAUAUCACGAAGAACUCCGAUUGCGAAGGCAGCCUGCUAAGCUGCAACUGACAUUGAGGCUCGAAAGUGUGGGUAUCAAACAGGAUUAGAUACCCUGGUAGUCCACACGGUAAACGAUGAAUACUCGCUGUUUGCGAUAUACUGCAAGCGGCCAAGCGAAAGCGUUAAGUAUUCCACCUGGGGAGUACGCCGGCAACGGUGAAACUCAAAGGAAUUGACGGGGGCCCGCACAAGCGGAGGAACAUGUGGUUUAAUUCGAUGAUACGCGAGGAACCUUACCCGGGCUUAAAUUGCAGAUGAAUUACGGUGAAAGCCGUAAGCCGCAAGGCAUCUGUGAAGGUGCUGCAUGGUUGUCGUCAGCUCGUGCCGUGAGGUGUCGGCUUAAGUGUCAUAACGAGCGCAACCCUUGUUGUCAGUUACUAACAGGUUCCGCUGAGGACUCUGACAAGACUGCCAUCGUAAGAUGUGAGGAAGGUGGGGAUGACGUCAAAUCAGCACGGCCCUUACGUCCGGGGCUACACACGUGUUACAAUGGGGGGUACAGAGGGCCGCUACCACGCGAGUGGAUGCCAAUCCCCAAAACCUCUCUCAGUUCGGACUGGAGUCUGCAACCCGACUCCACGAAGCUGGAUUCGCUAGUAAUCGCGCAUCAGCCACGGCGCGGUGAAUACGUUCCCGGGCCUUGUACACACCGCCCGUCAAGCCAUGGGAGCCGGGGGUACUUGAAGUGCGUAACCGCGAGGAGCGCCCUAGGGUA